UUAAAAAACUCAUUAACAAUGUUUUUAAUAGCCUGCGACGAUACUUUUUUCGAUCUGGCAACUCUAAAAAGUAUUACAAAUCUUGAUAAUAAUAAAUAACGAUGAUUGCCACUAGCAUUAUUAUAAAAAUCGGCUUUUAGUGUUUGUCAUCGCUAGCAAAAAAAUUUUAUAAAAUAUUGUCUAAACUCUAUAGCUACGCCUUAAGCACAAGCAUAUUAACUUAACUGUGACUUGAAUUUUAAAUUAUAUUAUUUUUAUGCAUAAAAUGUUUUGCAAGCCAUUUAUUUACAUACACACAUACGUACAUAGACACAUAUCUAGUAUAUAACCAUGUACAUACAAUAUAAUUUUUAGCUAAUAAAUACUUUAAAAGUAAUUGUAGCUAAAAGAAGUAAACUUGAAAAAUUCUUAAAGAGCAAAUAUCCGAUAUGUUUAUGUUUGACUUAAAAAUUUAAUUUUUUUUUGUUAAAGUUCUUUAAAGUUGGGACAAUUAUUGCCAAACCGUUUAAAUAUUGCAUUAAAGCCAAGCGAUAUAGUGCCUUACAGGUAAAUAGUGCCAAGUUGACUUAAGUUGGUUUAUCAAAGAAAAAAGACAUAUGUACAUAAGCACAUAUUCUGUAUAUGGACAUUUGCAAUUCACCACUUUGCCAUAUAAAAAACACUUGUACGAAUUUAUAAGUUCAUUGGCAUGCACAUACAUAAAUUGCUAACAGAUGAGCAAUCGAGUCCAUAUUUUUUCCACGUUGCCUUAAGGCUUGUUUUCACUAUGUCAAAUACAUAAGAAUAGUCAAACCAGACUUGAAUGAGAAAACAGAAUACCGAUUUGAUUAUAUCGGAAAAGCUCUUCAGUUGGUUAUGUUUUUGCGCCAUAAAAUAAAAAAAGUAAGAUAUCAGCAAAACGGGCUAAAAAAUUUUGUGGUCAACUUAUGGCAUAGUGAAAACUAGCUAUUACGUUUGAACUAUUUUGUUGUUAUUUU